rnacentral:miRNA from 1 species
GUGAGGCUGGAGUGAGCAGAGAUCGUACCACUACACUCCAACCUGGUGA